ensembl:misc_RNA Metazoa_SRP Metazoan signal recognition particle RNA
GCUGGACGCGGUGGUGCGUGCCUGUAGUCCCAGCUUCUCGGGAGGCUGAGGUGGGAGGAUCUCUUGAGUCCAGGAGUUCUGGGCUGUAGUGCGCUAUGCCGAUCGGGUGUCCGCACUAAGUUCGGCAUCAAUACGGUGACCUCCUGGGAGUGGGGGACCACCAGGUCGCCUAACGAGGGGUGAACCAGCCCAGGUCGGAAACGGAGCAGGUCAAAACUCCUGUGCUGAUCAGUAGUGGGAUCGCGCCUGUGAAUAGCCACUGCACUCCAGCCUGGGCAACGUAGAGAGACCCCAUCUCU